rnacentral:rRNA from 1 species
AGAUUGAACGCUGGCGGCAUGCCUAACACAUGCAAGUCGAACGGCAGCGCGGGGGCAACCCUGGCGGCGAGUGGCGGACGGGUGAGGAAUACAGUGGGAAUCUACCCUGUCGUGGGGGAUAACGUAGGGAAACUUACGCUAAUACCGCAUACGACCGAGAGGUGAAAGCGGCGGACCGCAAGGCGUCGCGCGACUGGAUGAGCCCAUGUCCGAUUAGCUAGGUUGGCGGGGUAAGAGCCCACCAAGGCGACGAUCGGUAGCUGGUCUGAGAGGAUGAUCAGCCACACUGGAACUGAGACACGGUCCAGACCUCCGUACGGGAGGCAGCAGGUGGGAAUAGUUGGAACAAGUGGGCACGAACGCCUAGACGUCCGAGACAAGUCGCCGCGGUGGGUAGAAGAAGGCCUUACGAGGUUAGAACGUCCGUUUAG